rfam:Schistosoma mansoni strain Puerto Rico chromosome 2, complete genome
GCAUUCCUGAGGAGUCCUAUAAUAGGACGAAACAGCCGUCCAGUGC